GUCACUAACUCCGCCCUAAAGGACGGAGCUUGCCUAAACCAAUUUAGGCAACGUAAGUAGCGACUACCACACUGAGACACAACUUGGCACAGACCUCCGAAUACUUCCCCAGUUCGGAUGCCCUCUA
rnacentral:sRNA from 17 species